rnacentral:rRNA from 1 species
CCUACGGGUGGCAGCAGUGGGGAAUAUUGGACAAUGGGGGCAACCCUGAUCCAGCCAUGCCGCGUGUGUGAAGAAGGCCCUCGGGUUGUAAAGCACUUUCAGUGAGGAAGAACGCCUGGUGGUUAAUACCCAUCAGGAAAGACAUCACUCACAGAAGAAGCACCGGCUAACUCCGUGCCAGCAGCCGCGGUAAUACGGAGGGUGCGAGCGUUAAUCGGAAUUACUGGGCGUAAAGCGCGCGUAGGUGGCUUGAUAAGCCGGUUGUGAAAGCCCCGGGCUCAACUUGGGAACGGCAUCCGGAACUGUCAAGCUAGAGUGCAGGAGAGGAAGGUAGAAUUCCCGGUGUAGCGUUGAAAUGCGUAGAGAUCGGGAGGAAUACCAGUGGCGAAGGCGGCCUUCUGGACUGACACUGACACUGAGGUGCGAAAGCGUGGGUAGCAAACAGGAUUAGAUACCCUUGUAGUC